GUUGAAAUUCUGGUUCUCAUACGAUCAUCGAAGUUAAGCAACGUCGAGCCGGGUCAGUAUCUAGAUGGGUGGCGGCUUGGGAAUAUUAUGUGCUGUAU